GACGAACGCUGGCGGCGUGCUUAACACAUGCAAGUCGAACGGAAAGGCCCUGCUUUUGUGGGGUGCUCGAGUGGCGAACGGGUGAGUAACACGUGAGUAACCUGCCCUUGACUUUGGGAUAACUUCAGGAAACUGGGGCUAAUACCGGAUAGGAGCUCUUGCUGCAUGGUGGGGGUUGGAAAGUUUCGGCGGUUGGGGAUGGACUCGCGGCUUAUCAGCUUGUUGGUGGGGUAGUGGCUUACCAAGGCUUUGACGGGUAGCCGGCCUGAGAGGGUGACCGGCCACAUUGGGACUGAGAUACGGCCCAGACUCCUACGGGAGGCAGCAGUGGGGAAUAUUGCACAAUGGGCGGAAGCCUAAUGCAGCAACGCCGCGUGCGGGAUGACGGCCUUCGGGUUGUAAACCGCUUUCGCCUGUGACGAAGCGUGAGUGACGGUAAUGGGUAAAGAAGCACCGGCUAACUACGUG
rnacentral:rRNA from 1 species